ACGGGUGAGUAAUGCGCAGGUGAUCUACCUCUGUGACUGGGAUAACCAGCCGAAAGGUUGGCUAAUACUAGAUAGAGCGCGGUAGCUGUAAGGGUUAUCGCGGGAAAGGAAGGCGUAGCAAUACGCUUUAGCACUGAGAUGAGCCUGCGUUCCAUCAGCUAGUUGGUAAGGUAACGGCUUACCAAGGCAUUGACGGGUAGCUGGUCUGAGAGGACGAUCAGCCACACUGGAACUGAAACACGGUCCAGACUCCUACGGGAGGCAGCAGUGGGGAAUCUUGCGCAAUGGACGAAAGUCUGACGCAGCGACGCCGCGUGGGUGAAGAGGCCUUCGGGUUGUAAAGCCCUGUCGAGUGGGAAAAAGUCCUUUAUCAAUAAUAAGGGUAGAGGGUGAUGGUACCACUAGAGGAAGCACCGGCUAACUCCGUGCCAGCAGCCGCGGUAAUACGGAGGGUGCAAGCGUUGUUCGGAAUCAUUGGGCGUAAAGGGCAGGUAGGUGGUUUUGUAAGUCUGCUGUGAAAUCCCCGAGCUUAACUUGGGAAGUGCGGCAGAUACUGCAGAACUAGAGUGCCGGAGGGGUUCGUGGAAUU
rnacentral:rRNA from 1 species